AUAUGCCUCUAUGUUGUACCUUUUCCACUACCUUCCACUGUGAACCCAACAAAAGAUCAUCCAUAUAAAAUACUUGUUGUGCUUGGAUGCCAAGUAUAUAGGAAUCAUCCAUGUACCAUUUACCAUUCACAUUGAUAGAAGUAAGAUGGUAAUCUAUGAUUGUUCUUUUUUGCUUUGGAUUAUUAUCGUACCAAUUACACUGGAACAAAGUGACGCGGUAGUCAAAAACGUUUACCAACUCAAUAACACCACACAGUAUACCAAAAAAGUUGAUGUUAUCAUCUCCAGGCACCAUUACUCCACUAUUUUGUGUUGUAUGGCAAUUAUCUCGAUCUUUAACAAGGAAUCUUACCC
rnacentral:lncRNA from 1 species